rnacentral:rRNA from 1 species
GACGAACGCUGGCGGCGUGCCUAAUACAUGCAAGUCGAACGCAGUGGGGACGGGUGAGUAACACGUGGGUAACCUCCCAUCAGAGGGGAUAACACUUGGAAACAGGUGCUAAACCGAUACUGAUGGAUGGACCAGCGGUGCAUUAGCUAGUUGGGGAGGUAAAGGCUACCCUAGGCGACGAACCCUAGCUGGGCUGAGGGUAUGAUCAGCCACACUGGGACUGAGACACGGCCCAGACUCCUACGGGAGGCAGCAGUGGGGAAUAUUGCACAAUGGGCGCAAGCCUGAUGCAGCCAUGCCGCGUGUAUGAAGAAGGCCUUCGGGUUGUAAAGUACUUUCAGUCGGGAGGCGUUACCGACAGAAGAAGCACCGGCUAACUCCGUGCCAGCAGCCGCGGUAAUAC